CCAGCUUCCUUGCCUCCUGAAUGGGUCAAGUCUGUGGUGUGUUCUACCCGUUUUCCAGAGGUCCCAUGUUUUAAACCCUAGCUGCUCAAGGCAAUUUCCUGAUCAUUGAUGUACUCUCUAUUGGCUAAUUUUUAGAUAAUAUGGAAUAUGCUCAAAAUAGGAUACCCAAAGAAAAAAUCAGAUGCCAAAAUUGUAUACACUGAAUGAGUUCAAUUCUGUAUAAGCGUGGAGAUACACACAUCAAAAGAAAUAUGGAACAAAAGAUACUAAAUGUUUAUAGUGGUUAUUUCUGGGUGUUGAAAUUUUAAGUGAUUUUCCUUUUCUUCUUUGUAAUUGUCUCUAUUUUUCAGUUUUUUCAAUAUACCCUGUAUUUCUUUUAAAAUCAGAACAAACCACCAUAAGUUAUUUUAAAAGGCUUAUAAAGCUGAUGAAUAUUUUGUCUUUGUUUCCUUUGUGUUGCCAUAGUCUGAGGGAGUAGUUCUCAAGUGUAGUCUCUGGACCAGCAGCAUCAACAUUACCUGGGAACUUGUUAGAAAUGCAAAUUCUCAGACGAUGCCUAGGACCUUCUGAAUAAGAAACUCUCGGGGAGCUUUUGUUUUCCAGUGUGUUACAUUAGUUAUUUGUGAAUCUGUCUUCUCCCCCACCAAAUGGAGGCCCUAAAUGCCGUUUUAAGACUGAGCGCAUCUGAUUUGGAACCAAUAGAUCUCCCAGCCAUCCCCAACCUCUUGCCAUUAUUUCCCCUUAUCCCUUAACACUUGAUUGCUUUCUUUCCAUUGAGCUCAUUCU
rnacentral:lncRNA from 1 species